AUUGAACGCUGGCGGCAGGCCUAACACAUGCAAGUCGAACGAAUGGCGGACGGGUGAGUAAUGUCUGGGAAACUGCCCGAUGGAGGGGGAUAACUACUGGAAACGGUAGCUAAUACCGCAUACCAUCGGAUGUGCCCAGAUGGGAUUAGCAAGUAGGUGGGGUAACGGCUCACCUAGGCGACGAUCCCUAGCUGGUCUGCGAGGAUGACCAGGAACCCUGGAAUUGAGCCACGGUCCAGACUCCUACGGGAGGCAGCAGGGGGGAAUAUUGCACAAUGGGCGAAAGCCUGAUGCAGCCAUGCCGCGUGUAUGAAGAAGGCCUUCGGGUUGUAAAGUACUUUCAGCGAGGAGGCGUUACUCGCAGAAGAAGCACCGGCUAACUCCGUGCCAGCAGCCGCGGUAAUAC
rnacentral:rRNA from 1 species